CCUACAUAUGCGGACCAUUCUCUCACAUUCUCCAAAACGUGAGCUAGUUCGCACCACACGAGAGCACUACACUCCAGCAACUUGUAGUUUUGCAUGGUUGUGUUCUAUAUAUGUGACAAAAAUAAAUCUUGACCAAGGCACUAUUUUAGCAUAUAUUCAACCAUAACAAAAACAGCUGGAUUUUUCGAACUCAGAUGCAAACAUGUCACAAUAAGGGAUUCAAUUUUUUAAUUCAAAUGCAAACAUGUUACACUUAGAUUUGGGGCUUGUUUGAGAUCUUGCUGGAGACGAAAAAAUCACUACGCGGGACAAUCUUUGCACAUUGCAGGGAUUUGUUUUAUACGACGUACAGAUAUGGGAGAAGUUAGUUUUGAGUACAACAUGAAUUUACUUUACCUUGCCUUGCAGGGAUUAAUCCUAGAUCAAACUCAUCUUCUGGUACAGAGGAUACAAACAAGGAACUGCUUUGCUAGCUUCUUCCAAACAAUUCUGCAUGCUAUGCCAAUCGUUCUGUCUCUGUCUCUCUCUCUAAUAACAAUGACAAGAAUCUCAAGUAGCAGUUCAAUCAAUCUGUGCAUGCUAUGGAGUAUGAACAAGAAUCAAUUUUGAUGGAAAGUUAGUCGGCGGUGAGAGUGAGACAUUCGAGCACCCUGGCCCUGUCAGGCUGGCAAUUUGCCCAGGUCAGCUACGUUGUUAGAUUAUAGUAUACGUGUGCAUGCAUGGCCAGGUCAGGUGCCGAGGUGUUGCUGCAGCUUGCUCAGAUCAGACGCCGUUGGAUCUCGGGCUGGCGCCGCCGUGUUGUGUGUCGACGUUGACGUACUUGCCCCAGAACCAGUGGCGGCUCCAGACGAGGUUCAUCUCCUCGAUGGGCACCCCCUUGGUCUCCGGCAGGAAGAGGGCGAUGAAGGUGGUCAUGAUGAACAUCCACCCGGCGAAGAAGUAGAAGAGCCCGAACUUGAGCGAGCACAGCAUGCUGAGGAAGGGGAUCAGCGCUGCCACCGUCAGCUGCGGCCGGUACCUGCGCUCCAGGAUGUUGCGCCACGGGUGCUCGAUGGCGUUCGCCUCCUCGCUCGCCGCCACCAUGUCGUCGUACUCGUCCUGCACGUCGUCCGUGCCGCGGAUCUUCACCAGCACCGCCUUGGCGUCGUCGUUGAACCCGCGGGCGAUAAGGGAGUUGGGCGUGUCGGGGAGCACCAGCGCGCCCAGGGUGAUGAUGAGCGCCGGCACGCCCGCGAGCCCCAGCCCGAUGCGCCAGCCCCACCCGCCCUCGAUGCCCGCCGUCCAGAAGUUGAUCAGGUUCGCCGCCAGGAUGCCGAUGGUGGUCAUCAGCUGGAACCCGAUGUUGAGCAUGCCGCGCAGCUUCGCCGGCGCCAUCUCCGACAGGUACAGCGGCACCGACUGGUUGGCGAAGCCGACGCCCACGCCCAGCAGGAUGCGGCCCAUGAUGAGCAUCAUCACGUCGGUGGCGGCGCCGUUCAGCGCCGACCCGGCCAGGAAGGUCACCCCGCCGCAGAACAUGGACCACUUGCGCCCGAACACCCGCGUCACGGACGCCGCCACGAACGACGUCGCCAGCGCCGCCAGGUACAGCGACGACGUGAACAGCGUCAGCAGCUGGCUGUCGAACUUGCAGUACUGGUUCGUGUCCUUGUUCGCCGCCGCCUUGGCGUACACGGAGGGGAAGAACUCCUUGAGGAACGACGCCAUGGACGUGACACCGCCGGAGAUGCCGAUGUCGUACCCGAAGAUGAGGCCGCCCGAUGACGCCACCAGGCAGGUGAAGAACACGAACGGCGUCAUGCGGCCGGGGUACGUCUUGCCCCCGGCCGCGUUCACCACCACGCCGCCUGCCAUUGCCGCGGGCGCGGGCGGACAGCUGGGGCAAUGGCAACGCGAGAAACAACACGAGACGACGAGGAACGGAAGGAGGUCGAGGUGGCCUGCAGGUCCCU
rnacentral:misc_RNA from 1 species